GAUGAACGCUGGCGGCGUGCCUAACACAUGCAGGUCGAACGGACUUACAUUGAAGCCUAGCGAUAUGUAAGUUAGUGGCGGACGGGUGAGUAACGCGUGGGUAACCUGCCUUGUACUGGGGGACAACAGUUGGAAACGACUGCUAAUACCGCAUAAGCGCACAGCUUCGCAUGAAGCAGUGUGAAAAACUCCGGUGGUGUGAGAUGGACCCGCGUCUGAUUAGCUAGUUGGCAGGGCAACGGCCUACCAAGGCGACGAUCAGUAGCCGACCUGAGAGGGUGACCGGCCACAUUGGGACUGAGACACGGCCCAAACUCCUACGGGAGGCAGCAGUGGGGAAUAUUGCACAAUGGGGGAAACCCUGAUGCAGCGACGCCGCGUGAGCGAAGAAGUAUUUCGGUAUGUAAGCUCUAUCAGCAGGGAAGAAAAAUGACGGUACCUGACUAAGAAGCACCGG
rnacentral:rRNA from 1 species